rnacentral:rRNA from 1 species
GACGAACGCUGGCGGCGUGCCUAAUACAUGCAAGUAGAACGCUGAAGGAAGGAGCUUGCUCUUUCCGGAUGAGUUGCGAACGGGUGAGUAACGCGUAGGUAACCUGCCUGGUAGCGGGGGAUAACUAUUGGAAACGAUAGCUAAUACCGCAUAACAGUAGAUAUCGCAUGAUAGCUGCUUGAAAGGUGCAAUUGCACCACUACCAGAUGGACCUGCGUUGUAUUAGCUAGUUGGUGAGGUAACGGCUCACCAAGGCAACGAUACAUAGCCGACCUGAGAGGGUGAUCGGCCACACUGGGACUGAGACACGGCCCAGACUCCUACGGGAGGCAGCAGUAGGGAAUCUUCGGCAAUGGGGGCAACCCUGACCGAGCAACGCCGCGUGAGUGAAGAAGGUUUUCGGAUCGUAAAGCUCUGUUGUAAGAGAAGAACGAGUGUGAGAGUGGAAAGUU